AAAGCGUGCGCAGGCGGCUUUGCAAGACAGAUGUGAAAUCCCCGGGCUCAACCUGGGAACUGCAUUUGUGACUGCAAGGCUAGAGUACGGUAGAGGGGGAUGGAAUUCCGCGUGUAGCAGUGAAAUGCGUAGAUAUGUGGAGGAACACCGAUGGCGAAGGCAGCCCCCUGGGUCAAAACUGACGCUCAUGCACGAAAGCGUGGGGAGCAAACAGGAUUAGAUACCCGUGU
rnacentral:rRNA from 1 species